GAUGAACGCUGGCGGCGUGCUUAACACAUGCAAGUCGAACGGAAAGGCCCAAGCUUGCUUGGGUACUCGAGUGGCGAACGGGUGAGUAACACGUGGGUGAUCUGCCCUGCACUUCGGGAUAAGCCUGGGAAACUGGGUCUAAUACCGGAUAGGACCACAUUUUGGAUGGUGUGGUGGAAAGUUUUUCGGUGUGGGAUGAGCUCGCGGCCUAUCAGCUUGUUGGUGGGGUGAUGGCCUACCAAGGCGUCGACGGGUAGCCGGCCUGAGAGGGUGUACGGCCACAUUGGGACUGAGAUACGGCCCAGACUCCUACGGGAGGCAGCAGUGGGGAAUAUUGCACAAUGGGCGCAAGCCUGAUGCAGCGACGCCGCGUGGGGGAUGACGGCCUUCGGGUUGUAAACUCCUUUCGCUAGGGACGAAGCGCAAGUGACGGUACCUGGAGAAGAAGCACCGGCUAACUACGUG
rnacentral:rRNA from 1 species